rnacentral:rRNA from 1 species
AACGAACGCUGGCGGCAGGCUUAACACAUGCAAGUCGAACGCACCUUUCGGGGUGAGUGGCAGACGGGUGAGUAACGCGUGGGAAUCUACCCUUCUCUACGGGAUAGCUCCGGGAAACUGGAAUUAAUACCGUAUACGUCCUGAGGGAGAAAGAUUUCUCGGGGAAGGAUGAGCCCGCGUUGGAUUAGCUAGUUGGUGGGGUAAAGGCCUACCAAGGCGACGAUCCAUAGCUGGUCUAAGAGGAUGAUCAGCCACAUUGGGACUGAGACACGGCCCAAACUCCUACGGGAGGCAGCAGUGGGGAAUAUUGGACAAUGGGCGCAAGCCUGAUCCAGCCAUGCCGCGUGAGUGAUGAAGGCCCUAGGGUUGUAAAGCUCUUUCAGUGGGGACGAUAAUGACGGUACCCACAGAAGAAGCACCGGCUAACUUCGUG